rnacentral:rRNA from 1 species
CUCUCUCUCUCUCACUAUCACUGGUAUGCUCAGCCACGAACAGAACCAACUCCAUCUCUCUCUCCCUAACUACAGAGCAGGUCGCCGCCGGCUCGAUCUGCCACUUCCGGACAUCUCCGGCGACACCGUGGACACCCACAGAAUCCCCUCGACUCCCUCUACCAUAUCCCCCCAUUUAUUUGAUCCGCCGCCGCCAAAAUCGCCGCCACCCUCAAACCCCAGCGUCGUCUGCAUCGGGUCCGAUGGGUUCACCACGGGCCGCAGUAGCAAUGGCAUAUCCCUGCCUACAACCUCCUCCAGCAGAGCUGCACGCACGAGGCAUGCAACUACGGCCGUCGGGAGCGAGCAUCUUAACCGGCGCGGCUCCGGCAACAUGGCCGCUACCGGCGCCUGGCUCGCCUUUGUCUACUGCUACUAGUUAACUAGAGUCCAAAAGAUCAGGUGUUCAUGUUCUAAGCAAAGGUGAAGAUGGAUCAAGCAAACAAAGCUGCAAAAGCAAGGCACUUGAAUAGUACCUGAUGGCAACUCAGCAUCCGACCAAAAGAGUGGAUGGGGAUGGUGGGGAGAGC